rnacentral:rRNA from 1 species
AUGGCUGGCACUGGCAGCACCUGGCUCCUGCUGGAGCAGAAGGGAGCUGGGCCGGGAGCAAGGAGCUCCCACGCCAUCACCCUCGUCGGCGGCACGGCCUACUCCUUCGGCGGAGAGUUCACCCCGCGCCUUCCCGUGGACAACACCAUGUACGCCUUCGACCUCAAGGCGCAGUCCUGGUCCGCCCUCCACGCGGCCGGCGAGGUGCCCCCGCCACGCGUCGGCGUCACCAUGGCCUCCGUCGGCGCCACGGUGUUCGUGUUCGCCGGCCGCGACAAGGACCACACGGAGCUCAACGAGCUCUACUCCUUCGACACGGCCACCAGCACCUGGACCCUGCUAUCCUCCGGCGACGACGGCCCGCCGCACCGGAGCUACCACUCCAUGGUGGCCGACGGCGAGGGGAGCCGCGUGUACGUCUUUGGCGGCUGCGGCAACGCCGGCAGGCUGAACGACCUGUGGGCCUACGACGUCGCCGCCGGGCGCUGGGAGGAGCUGCCUUCGCCGGGGGCGGCCUGCCCUCCCCGCGGCGGGCCCGGGCUGGCGUUCGCCGGCGGGAAGGUGUGGGUGGUCUACGGGUUCUCCGGGGACGCGGAGCUCGACGAUGUGCACUCCUACGACCCGGCCACCGGCGAGUGGGCCGUGGUCGACACCACCGGCGACAAGCCCACCCCGCGGAGCGUGCUCUGCGCCGCCGGGGUCGGGAAGCACGUGGUGGUGUUCGGCGGCGAGGUGGAUCCCAGCGAUCUCGGCCAUCUAGGCGCCGGCAAAUUCUCCGCCGAGGCCUUCGUGCUAGACACCGACACCGGCGCGUGGGCCAAGCUUGAUGACGCUGGGUCUGGUCACCACCCUGGUCCUCGCGGUUGGUGCGCUUUCUCGGCGGGGGCGCUCGACGGCCGGCGCGGCAUGCUUGUCUACGGCGGCAACUCGCCGACGAACGACCGGCUUGGCGACAUGUUCCUCUUCACUCCGCUUCUAGCUUGA